GACGAACGCUGGCGGCGUGCUUAGCACAUGCAAGUCGAACGGAAAGGCCCUGCUUUUGUGGGGUGCUCGAGUGGCGAACGGGUGAGUAACACGUGAGUAACCUGCCCUUGACUUUGGGAUAACUUCAGGAAACUGGGGCUAAUACCGGAUAGGAGCUCCUGCUGCAUGGUGGGGGUUGGAAAGUUUCGGCGGUUGGGGAUGGACUCGCGGCUUAUCAGCUUGUUGGUGGGGUAGUGGCUUACCAAGGCUUUGACGGGUAGCCGGCCUGAGAGGGUGACCGGCCACAUUGGGACUGAGAUACGGCCCAGACUCCUACGGGAGGCAGCAGUGGGGAAUAUUGCACAAUGGGCGGAAGCCUGAUGCAGCAACGCCGCGUGUGGGAUGACGGCCUUCGGGUUGUAAACCGCUUUCGCCUGUGACGAAGCGUGAGUGACGGUAAUGGGUAAAGAAGCACCGGCUAACUACGUG
rnacentral:rRNA from 1 species